CUUUUACAUCCAUCUACACCUUCAUAGUUAAGAGAUUGGUUUGAUUAUAAUAGGUUGUGAAAAUUAUCCAAGUAAGAUGGCAAAUAAGCAUUCAUCUCCAACCUUCUGCUUCUUAUUAGUCCUUUUUGUUUCCGUAUCAGUUGGGGUGAUCAACACGAUCCCACAAGUCGAUGCAUGUGUUGAGUCAUGGUUCGAAUACUGUGACACCGAGUUGAACUGCCAAGCUCAUUGUUUUAAUGCUCAUGGACCAAAUGCUGUAGCCUAUUGUGAGCAAAAUCCAGGCACUUUCAAUGUGCGUACUUGUAGUUGUGCCUACGACUGUUGAUCCAAGCAAAUGAUUCGUAUCAGUGGAGAAUAGUUAACCGGCAGAUAUAGUUUGGUAAUUUGCAUGUCGUAAAAGUACUAGCAAAAUCCGCCGAAUGAGUCGCAGAUGCUAGUGGAAAUCCAUAUUAUUAAUAAAAUUAGCAAAUUUUACUUUCCAAAA